AAAUGUAGCUAUAAAAGAGAAAGUAGAAACCAAGACACUUGGCGAAAUCAAUUUGAUUUAGUAACAACAAUGCGAUGUGAGCGAUUCAAAACAAGCGCAAGCAUAAACACAGGACAGGCGACAAUUAAAAGCAUGUCAUUUCAAACAUUAACGAGUCGCUCAGAGUCAAAAAGUCAUGAGAUGUUGAAACAAAACAACAAGAGAAGUUAAAUCGAAUCAACUCAAAUCAAAAAUGAAAGCCAAGUUCAGUAGGAUCCUGCACCUUCUCCAUAUAUGAGCUGGAAAAACAUACCUUGAAAA